rnacentral:snoRNA from 1 species
AAAAAUCGCCAUAUGGUCUCAUGCCUACGAUGGGCCAGAGGAGCAUUUUGGCGAGACACACACUGGGCGGCCAUUGCGUCUGCGGUAGACCCGCCGAUUCCACAACCCAGGAACAGCC